rfam:Firmicutes bacterium CAG:536 genomic scaffold, scf170
AGCAGAGUAGAAUGCAAUGCGUAAAGUGCUUCUUGUACAGGGAGUUGACAAGAAGACGAAGAGGUAAAACUUGCGAUAUUGUAUUCGCAUCCCGCUGCU